AUGAACGCUAGCGACAGGCUUAACACAUGCAAGUCGAGGGGCACAUGAUUUGUAGCAAUACAGAUUGAUGGCGACCGGCGCACGGGUGAGUAACGCGUAUGCAACUUACCUAUCAGAGGGGGAUAGCCCGGCGAAAGUCGGAUUAAUACCCCAUAAAACAGGGGUCCCGCAUGGGAAUAUUUGUUAAAGAUUCAUCGCUGAUAGAUAGGCAUGCGUUCCAUUAGGCAGUUGGCGGGGUAACGGCCCACCAAACCGACGAUGGAUAGGGGUUCUGAGAGGAAGGUCCCCCACAUUGGUACUGAGACACGGACCAAACUCCUACGGGAGGCAGCAGUGAGGAAUAUUGGUCAAUGGCCGAGAGGCUGAACCAGCCAAGUCGCGUGAAGGAAGAAGGAUCUAUGGUUUGUAAACUUCUUUUAUAGGGGAAUAAAGUGGAGGACGUGUCCUUUUUUGUAUGUACCCUAUGAAUAAGCAUCGGCUAACUCCGUGCCAGCAGCCGCGGUAAUACGGAGGAUGCGAGCGUUAUCCGGAUUUAUUGGGUUUAAAGGGUGCGUAGGUGGUGAUUUAAGUCAGCGGUGAAAGUGUGUAGCUCAACCAUAAAAUUGCCGUUGAAACUGGGUUACGUGAGUGUGUUUGAGGUAGGCGGAAUGCGUGGUGUAGCGGUGAAAUGCAUAGAUAUCACGCAGAACUCCGAUUGCGAAGGCAGCUUACUAAACCAUAACUGACACUGAAGCACGAAAGCGUGGGGAUCAAACAGGAUUAGAUACCCUGGUAGUCCACGCAGUAAACGAUGAUUACUAGGAGUUUGCGAUACAAUGUAAGCUCUACAGCGAAAGCGUUAAGUAAUCCACCUGGGGAGUACGCCGGCAACGGUGAAACUCAAAGGAAUUGACGGGGGCCCGCACAAGCGGAGGAACAUGUGGUUUAAUUCGAUGAUACGCGAGGAACCUUACCCGGGUUUGAACGUAGUCUGACCGGAGUGGAAACACUCUUUCUAGCAAUAGCAGAUUACGAGGUGCUGCAUGGUUGUCGUCAGCUCGUGCCGUGAGGUGUCGGCUUAAGUGCCAUAACGAGCGCAACCCUUAUCACUAGUUACUAACAGGUGAAGCUGAGGACUCUGGUGAGACUGCCAGCGUAAGCUGUGAGGAAGGUGGGGAUGACGUCAAAUCAGCACGGCCCUUACAUCCGGGGCGACACACGUGUUACAAUGGCAUGGACAAAGGGCAGCUACCUGGUGACAGGAUGCUAAUCUCCAAACCAUGUCUCAGUUCGGAUCGGAGUCUGCAACUCGACUCCGUGAAGCUGGAUUCGCUAGUAAUCGCGCAUCAGCCAUGGCGCGGUGAAUACGUUCCCGGGCCUUGUACACACCGCCCGUCAAGCCAUGGGAGCCGGGGGUACCUGAAGUCCGUAACCGCAAGGAUCGGCCUAGGGUAAAACUGGUGACUGGGGCU
rnacentral:rRNA from 1 species